AACGAACGCUGGCGGCAUGCCUAACACAUGCAAGUCGAACGAGACCUUCGGGUCUAGUGGCGCACGGGUGCGUAACGCGUGGGAACCUGCCCUUAGGUUCGGAAUAACUCCCCGAAAGGGGUGCUAAUACCGGAUAAUGUCUUCGGACCAAAGAUUUAUCGCCUUUGGAUGGGCCCGCGUUGGAUUAGCUAGUUGGUAGGGUAAAAGCCUACCAAGGCGACGAUCCAUAGCUGGUCUGAGAGGAUGGUCAGACACACUGGGACUGCGACACGGCCCAGACUCCUACGGGAGGCAGCAGUGGGGAAUAUUGGACAAUGGGCGAAAGCCUGAUCCAGCAAUGCCGCGUGAGUGAUGAAGGCCUUAGGGUUGUAAAGCUCUUUUACCCGGGAUGAUAAUGACAGUACCGGGAGAAUAAGCUCCGGCUAACUCCGU
rnacentral:rRNA from 1 species